CACGUAGGGUGCGAGCGUUGUCCGGAAUUAUUGGGCGUAAAGAGCUCGUAGGCGGUGUGUCGCGUCGACUGUGAAAACUCGGGGCUCAACUCCGAGCUUGCAGUCGAUACGGGCAGGCUAGAGUUCGGUAGGGGAGACUGGAAUUCCUGGUGUAGCGGUGAAAUGCGCAGAUAUCAGGAGGAACACCGGUGGCGAAGGCGGGUCUCUGGGCCGAUACUGACGCUGAGACGCGAAAGCGUGGGGAGCGAACAGG
rnacentral:rRNA from 1 species